UAAAGCGGUACGCGAGCUGGGUUCAGAACGUCGUGAGACAGUUCGGUCCCUAUCCGGCGCGGGCGUAGGAUAUUUGAGAGGAGCUGCCCCUAGUACGAGAGGACCGGGGUGGACGGACCACUGGUGUAUCAGCUGUCGACCAACGGCAUAGCUGAGUAGCCAAGUCUGGACGGGAUAAACGCUGAAGGCAUCUAAGCGUGAAGCCCCCCUCAAGAUGAGAUAUCCCAUUCCUUCAAGGAAAUAAGAUCCCUUAUAGACGAUAAGGUAGAUAGGUUCAAGGUGUAAGUGCGGUAACGCAUUCAGCUGAUGAAUACUAAUAGAUCGAAGGUUUAUUCUA
rnacentral:ncRNA from 1 species